UACGUAGGAGGCAAGCGUUGUCCGGAAUUACUGGCGUAAGCGCGUGUAGGUGGUGGGACAAGUCUGCUGUGAAAGCGCCUGGCUUAACCGGGCGAGGUCGGCGGAAACUGUCGCACUCGGAGGACGGUAGAGGGGGGUGGAAUUCCCGGUGUAGUGGUGAAAUGCGUAGAGAUCGGGAGGAACACCUGUGGCGAAGGCGGCCCCCUGGCCGGCCCGUGACACUGAGACGCGAAGGCGUGGGGAGCGAACGGG
rnacentral:rRNA from 1 species